GUAGGUGAACCUGCGGAAGGAUCAUUAACACGUAUUUUACGUUCUCACCCGCGAAUUGUGUUAGCCAGGAAGGGGAUUUUGGGGCUUGGAGUUUCCUGUACGGAGCUUUGUCUGUGAAGUGUGCAGCUUCAGGGAUCGAGCAACGGAACGUGAUUCCAGGGCUAAAUCUCGACGUGUAAUAUUUGGGUUUUAUCAUUUGCGGAAGUUUUCCUGAAUUUACACGUUGCUUUGAUCGGGUCGGACAACCUGA
rnacentral:misc_RNA from 1 species